GAUGAACGCUAGCGGCAGGCCUAACACAUGCAAGUCGAGGGGUAGAGUUCUUCGGGACUUGAGACCGGCGCACGGGUGCGUAACGCGUAUGCAAUCUACCUUAUACAGGGGAAUAGCCCAGAGAAAUUUGGAUUAAUGCCCCAUAGUGUUAUCGAAUCGCAUGGUUUGAUAACUAAAGUUCCAACGGUAUAAGAUGAGCAUGCGUCCCAUUAGUUAGUUGGUAAGGUAACGGCGUUACCUAAGAACAAUAAUAGGUAGGGGUCCGUGAGAGGGAGGA
rnacentral:rRNA from 1 species